GCCCAGUAGUAUUUUUAUGGCUGUUUUUAAAAAUUAACUUUUAGUUACUCCAAUGACAUAACUAAUCCAUUCUCUUUGCAGAAAUGGAAACACCGCAGAUGGAGCUGGACUAGCUGUAACCUGUCCCCAGAGGUCACAGCUGCUGUUCUGUCGUCGUGUGUCCUUCCAGACCUGGCCCCUGCGUUCACGGGAACACGGUGUCUUCAGAAAACACGCAGUCUAAACACUUGAGCAACCAGUUUGUGAGCCUGAGGCAACGUCAAGGACAGAAUCACACAGUAAGGAUGGUGGAGCAAAAAGAAGCCUGAGGCCUUGAU
rnacentral:lncRNA from 1 species